GAUGAACGCUGGCGGCGUGCUUAACACAUGCAAGUCGAACGAUGAAGCCCAGCUUGCUGGGUGGAUUAGUGGCGAACGGGUGAGUAACACGUGAGUAACCUGCCCUUAACUCUGGGAUAAGCCUGGGAAACUGGGUCUAAUACCGGAUAGGAGCGUCCACCGCAUGGUGGGUGUUGGAAAGAUUUAUCGGUUUUGGAUGGACUCGCGGCCCAUCAGCUUGUUGGUGAGGUAAUGGCUCACCAAGGCGACGACGGGUAGCCGGCCCGAGAGGGUGACCGGCCACACUGGGACUGAGACACGGCCCAGACUCCUACGGGAGGCAGCAGUGGGGAAUAUUGCACAAUGGGCGCAAGCCUGAUGCAGCGACGCCGCGUGAGGGAUGACGGCCUUCGGGUUGUAAACCUCUUUCAGUAGGGAAGAAGCGAAAGUGACGGUACCUGCAGAAGAAGCACCGGCUAACUACGUG
rnacentral:rRNA from 1 species